rnacentral:rRNA from 1 species
GGCGAGUGAAGCGGGAAGAGCUCAGACUGAAAAUCUUCGGAGUUGUAGUCUGUAGAAGCUAUGCCGGUCGUCUGCCACGGGUCAAGUCUCCUGGAACGGAGCACCAAGGAGGGUGACAGUCCCGUUUAUACCUGUGGACGGCGGCGUACGGUUGGCUUUCCAAGAGUCGAGUUGCUUGGGAUUGCAGCUCUAAGUGGGUGGUAAAUUCCAUCUAAAGCUAAAUAUUGGUGGGAGACCGAUAGCGAACAAGUACCGUGAGGGAAAGAUGAAAAGAACUUUGAAAAGAGAGUUAAAGAGUACCUGAAAUUGCUGAAAUGGAACCGAUGGGAGGCAGUGUUGGCGUGCGGCCAUUCUGUGUUGUCCGCUAGCGGGUAGCGCGUGAUGCCGUGUGCAAGUCAGGCUUUUUUCGACGAGUGGGAGAGGUCCCAAACCUGUAUGGGUUGGGUGUGCCGUCACUUGUUGGAGGGACUCUGACGAAAUGCCUCUUAUCAACCCGUCUUGUAACACGGACCAAGGAGUCUAACAUAUGUGCGAGUUCACGGGCGGGUAAACCUGCUUGCGCAAUGAAAGUGACUGCUGGGAUCUUUGCACCAGCAACCGACCAAUCAAUUGAGAGAGGUUUGAGUAUGAGCAUAUCUGUUAGGACCCGAAAGAUGGUGAACUAUGCCUGAGUAGGGCGAAGCCAGGGGAAACUCUGGUGGAGGUCCGCAGCGAUUCUAACGUGCAAAUUG